UGGGCGCAGGCGCAGAGCGGGGUCGGGGCCCGGGAGGCGGAGAAACCCUAAGGGAUCGGCAGGCCCGGCCUCCCGCCCCGGUGGGCGCGGGCGCACGGAUAGGGGCAGCGGGACACCCCACCCGGGAGGCCAGCUGGGCCCCGGAGUUAGAUCGACGUGAGACAGGCGGGAGAACAGGUUUAUUUGACACAAGUUUCCGCGGCACCGGGACCCUCGUGAGGAAUGACGCCGGUGGAGCAAUUAGUCGCCUCCCUGCCAGGCGGAUGAGGAAUGCUAAGUAGGUUCAAUCCAAGGUAGUCAGUAUGCCAGGCCAGCCUAUUUUGGGGUGGCAUCUUCUCCACUCCCUCACGCGCUGUACACGCAUGGCACACACGCUGUAAAAGGGUUCUCCAGGCAAGCACCACCCUGAGAAAUGACCCCCGGGAAGGAUGCUCAGGGCUUUCAUUCUUGGCACGCCCUGCGAGAGUCGAGAGUCACGGAGCACUACAGACCCUUGGAGGUUGGCCUUCUUAAGGGGCCACAGCGAGUGUGAGAGGCCAUGAGACCUCACACCGUUUUGGGCUGCCCGGGAUCGAAGGCUUGAAAACGGUUGUUUCAUUUAACUUGUCCACUCUGUAGCUGCUGAAGGAGGGAGGGUGUCUUGGUACAUUCAGGCUACUGUAAGAAAGUAUCAUAGACUGGGUGGUUCAUAAACAACAGAAAUUUGUAUCUCCCAGUUCUGAAGGCUGGGAAGUUCAAGAUCAAGGUGCCAGCAAACCUGGUGUCUGGUUCCUGGUUCGUAGCUAGCGGGCACCUUGCUGUGUCCUCACCUGGUGGAAGGGGUGAGGGUCUCUCCGGAGCACUAAUCUCAUUCGUGAGGACUCCGCCCUCACAACCUAACCACUUCCCAGAGCCCCCCCUCCUAAUUCCAUCACACUGGGGGUUCCAGCAUGUGGAUUUGGGGGUGGGGACACAGGGUAAAUGGCUAUGAGGGCCAUGACCACCUGCAGCAGCAGUUCUGUGGGGCUUCUUGAAUGUGGGCUGGUGUCUUUUAUCAGUUUGGGGACAUUUUCUACCAUUAUCUUAAAAGAGUGCCUCUCUGUGUCCCUCCUCUAACUCUGAGAAGCCAAAUACACACAUAUUAGAUCUUUUAACUAGUAAAUCUUGGCCCGUCCCGUGAGUGUCUUGUUCUCUGUUGUGUUUCUGUUUUCUGCCCACAACUGUUUCCGUGCCUGCUGGCAUCUUUCCCGUUGGCCUGUCCCCCCUCUGCUGUCACCUGUCACCAGGCCCAGUCUGCUGUAAACUCGUCUAAUGAAGUUAAUCAGCGGUGCUAGGAUGUCUUUCUGAUUCUUUCUUAUAGGUUCCAAUUAGCUGUGAAGUUCUCCUUCUGCAGAUCUCUUUCAUGCUGCUUUUCCUCUGUUUUUAGUCACACGUUAACCACGGUUAUUUAAAGAUACUUGUCUACCCGUAUCUUGACAUCUGCAGUUGUGCUUCCGUUGCCUGUUUUCUCCAGAUAAUCGCAAACACCUCCCCACCUCCUCUCCUGACUGCAUCUCUGCUCUUGCCUGGGACCCUGCAAACAUCAGGGAGGUCUGCUGAGGACACAGAAACACGCGUGUGAGCCCAAAGAGGUAGUUGUCAAGGUGUGGGGAGCUCUCAGGGCUCCUUUGGGUGCUGGGUCUGGCACCACCCAACUGGAUGACAUUGGGUAAUCACCUACCUUGCCUGAGCCUCAGUUUCCUCGAAAACUAGAACCUGGUGGCCAGGUUGUGCACUGCACAUUCUGUCCUCAGCCGCUCGGAGCACAUGCUCCUCCCUCCUAGGCAGCAGGAACCACAGCCCCCUGCAGCCUGGAGGAUGCCAAGGGCUCUAGCUCCGUCCACAUGGCCCUUGGCCCCUGCCAUCCUGCCCAUCCCCUGCCGCGAGGCCUGAGAUGUCGCCAUCGGAAGCAAGCCUCAGGGACGCCAACAAAGUGGGCAGACUCCAAAGGACGCCCGGGUUUCCCCAAGCCCCACCCUAUGCACAAAAAUGUGAUUUCACCAAUUCUCUAUCAUCCUACUGAACGACACUUACUGAAUGGAACCAUUGCCUUAGUUUCCCAAUUCUGCCUCAGCGUCUGUUGAAAUGAGUUUAGGAUCCCCCCGAUGUCAGGUAUUUAGAGUGCACGCCCGUAUACGCCUGGGCACAGGGUCCCAGAGAGCAUCAGCCGUUGACGUAAAACAGAGGACUCGGUCCGGCUGCAGGGUUCUCUGUGCUCCGUGCAUAGGUCUUCCCUCUCCACCCCCGCAAGGAAAGCGUGGCCAUCUCCGGUGUCCCAGGGCUACAGGCUGCUGCAGACCUCUGGGGAAGAGAUGUUCGAGGCUGGCGCCUGCCCCGCCCCAUACAGGCCUGGGCCCCGAGUCUGCCAUCUGGCUCAGCAGAUGAGGAGUUCGCUGACGGCGCUUUGCUUCCAGUUGGAAACUGCCUGUCCUGAACCUGCCGUUCCUCUCCUGGAAGCAUCGGCAGUGCUCAUGUCCUGGACGUGGCUUAGUGGCACCAGCACCAGUGGUCUCAGGUCAGGUUCCCUCUAAGCAGGUUGGGUUCGGAGCCUCGAGGUGACAAUGAUGAAUGAAUAUCAAAAAAUCAAACUCAUGUCCCACCUGCUUGGCAGACCUGUGAACAUCCAAACUUCAGAGUAGCGUGACGUGACCUGGUCGGUGUGGGAGGUGUCCCCUGGCUGCAGUGAGGAGCCAGUGCCUCUCCACCCAGGGGACGUCAGGACAGAGACAGUGGGAGGCACCUCCUCAGCUCCGGGAACGCGUCACACACGGGCUUGGAGGGGUCGGCCCUCCGCUGUCUCCUCAAACGUCCUCUCCUUACAAAGCUGGCCGGGGGGGGGGGGGUCUCCAAAUUUGGCAGAACUCAACCCAUAACGCACAGCAUUUGGAUAUAGUUCACUGUUGUUUUCUUUUACGUUUUUUUAAAUUAUUUUUUUAAUUGUGGUAAAGUAUACAUAACAUAAAAUUUACUAUUUGAAGCACUUUUCAGUGCACAGUGCAGUGGCAUUAAGCACGUUCACAUUGCUGCAGCCGUCACCAGCAGCGUCUCCGGAACUUUCUCAUCUUCCCAGACAGAAACCGUCUCCAUUAAACACUAACUCCCCAUCCCCGCCCCGGUGACCCCCAUU